rnacentral:misc_RNA from 1 species
AGGAUACAAGACAAUGGGACAAGGAAGGGAUAGCUUCUAAUCUCACUACUCCUAGCAAAAGGCUUUUAGGGUUGGCCUACUCCUAGAACGAGGGGAUUACUUAAAAUAGCACCAGGCAGGGUCACUCUUUCACCCGGGAAAGCUCUAUAGAACCAGCACCAGUGAUUAGAUAGCGCGCUUCCUCUAGCUGGUUUAGAACCAUGAUAAUGAAAUAUAUCUAGCUCUAGAACUCGAAAGAGGGGCUUACUUGUUGGCAGGUAGCUCCAUGUAAGG